UACGUAGGGCGCAAGCGUUGUCCGGAAUUAUUGGGCGUAAAGAGCUCGUAGGCGGUCUGUCGCGUCUGCUGUGAAAACCCGAGGCUCAACCUCGGGCCUGCAGUGGGUACGGGCAGACUAGAGUGUGGUAGGGGAGACUGGAAUUCCUGGUGUAGCGGUGGAAUGCGCAGAUAUCAGGAGGAACACCGGUGGCGAAGGCGGGUCUCUGGGCCGAUACUGACGCUGAGGAGCGAAAGCGUGGGGAGCGAACAGG
rnacentral:rRNA from 1 species